ensembl:snRNA LOC120101172 U6 spliceosomal RNA
GCGCUCGUUUCAGCAGUACAUAUACUAAAAUUGGAACGAUACAGAGAAGAUUAACAAGGCCCCUGCGCAUAGAUGACAUGCAAAUUCUUGAAGUGUUACAUAUUUUU